UACGUAGGGGGCGAGCGUUGUCCGGAUUUAUUGGGCGUAAAGAGCUCGUAGGCGGUUUGGUAAGUCGGGUGUGAAAUCUCCACGCUCAACGUGGAGGGGCCACUCGAUACUGCCAUGACUCGAGUCCGGUAGAGGAGUGUGGAAUUCCUGGUGUAGCGGUGAAAUGCGCAGAUAUCAGGAGGAACACCGGUGGCGAAGGCGGAUCUCUGGGCCUUACCUGACGCUCAGGCGCGAAAGCUAGGGGAGCGAACUGG
rnacentral:rRNA from 1 species